rnacentral:rRNA from 1 species
GCGAACAGAUGAAGUACUUGCACUUCUGACGUUAGCGGCGAACGGGUGAGUAACACGUAAGGAAUCUACCUAUAAGCGGGGGAUAACAUUCGGAAACGGGUGCUAAUACCGCAUAAUAUCUUCUUCCGCAUGGAAGAAGAUUGAAAGACGGCUCUGCUGUCACUUAUAGAUGACCUUGCGGUGCAUUAGUUAGUUGGUGGGGCAACGGCCUACCAAGACGAUGAUGCAUAGCCGACCUGAGAGGGUGAUCGGCCACAUUGGGACUGAGACACGGCCCAAACUCCUACGGGAGGCAGCAGUAGGGAAUCUUCCGCAAUGGGCGAAAGCCUGACGGAGCAAUGCCGCGUGAGUGAAGAAGGCCUUCGGGUCGUAAAACUCUGUUAUAAGAGAAGAACAAAUUGUAGAGUAACUGCUACAGUCUUGACGGUAUCUUAUCAGAAAGCCACGGCUAACUACGUGCCAGCAGCCGCGGUAAUACGUAGGUGGCAAGCGUUGUCCGGAUUUAUUGGGCGUAAAGGGAGCGCAGGUGGUUUCUUAAGUCUGAUGUGAAAGCCCACGGCUUAACCGUGGAGGGUCAUUGGAAACUGGGAAACUUGAGUACAGAAGAGGAAUGUGGAACUCCAUGUGUAGCGGUGGAAUGCGUAGAUAUAUGGAAGAACACCAGUGGCGAAGGCGACAUUCUGGUCUGUUACUGACACUGAGGCUCGAAAGCGUGGGGAGCAAACAGGAUUAGAUACCCUGGUAGUCCACGCCGUAAACGAUGAGUGCUAGGUGUUGGAGGGUUUCCGCCCUUCAGUGCCGCAGUUAACGCAUUAAGCACUCCGCCUGGGGAGUACGACCGCAAGGUUGA